rnacentral:piRNA from 1 species
UGCUUAUCUCCGAGGGGCUGCCACUA